CUGCUCAGUACGAGAGGAACCGCAGGUUCAGACAUUUUGUGUAUGUGCUUGGCUUUGUUGGCCUUGGAUAGGCGGUCCUCUGCCGUCCCCUCCGGCGGGCCGCUCUGCCUCAGGAGGGGCAUGUCCCGCCAUGCGCCGGGAACCAGGAUCCGGUGCAGAGAGCCCCUCAUCGUAGGAAAUGGGCUGCUGCCAGAAGGGCGGUCACCCCCUGACCCAUCACAUAACGUGUUUUUGGGGAACCGGAUGCUAAACUAUUUGUAGACAUCCUGCUUCUGGGUCAGGGUUUUCUAUGGAGCAGAGCAGCUCCCUCGCUGCGAUCUAUUGAAAGUCAAACCUCCACACAAGGUUCCCUGCACCCGUGCGCGGGGGACCUGGUGAUGUGGCGUGUCCUGUGUAAUUCAGCCCUUGACGUCUACCUUCCUUCCUUUCUCCUGUUAUACCCGGAACCUAGUUUCCUCGCCCGCUCAUGCCCACCGGACCCGGAGCCCCGAAGCACGCAGCAGGUGUCCCUCCCGAGAGACCACUGGUGCCCGCUGUGUCUUCGGGAGGCGCCCGUCCCCAUCUGCGGGCUUUCCAAGGUGCUGUGCUGGGGUUUGCCGAGGUAGGGGUGUCGCCCAUGCUCGUCGUUCCCUCUCCAAUUCCGCCUCCUUCCUGCACCCCGCUUUGACCUCCUUCAGGGGCUGGGAUCGGAUUUAUCGGGCCUGGUGAGAAUGGCUGAGGCGUGGGUGUCAGAGGGUGUGCCCCUGUGGUUCCUGUCCGAGUAGUGUUCACGCAUGCCCAGUGGUGGCCACUGGGGUCACGGCCCCUCUACCCGCCCCAGGCGCGCGGGAAUGGGACAGGAGCCAGUCACUGCCUUUCUGUCUUUCCUCCUCUCUCCGCAGCCCGGGUCAACCAGCCGACGGUGGCGGAACGGCGGGCAGGUCGGCGGAGUUAGAUGGCCGCAAAGUCUUCCUCUGUUGCCCAGGCUGGAGUGCAGUGGUGAGAUCUCGGGGAAAAACGUGGCCGGCCGGAGUCCUCCCACAGACGACAGUGCCUUCCCGGCAGCAUCUCCGCCGGGCCCAAGAGGGUCGUGGAGUCGCUGGCUUCCUCCCAGGAACCCAGAGUUGAUCUCUACACCACGCCAUCACUGCCAGGGGUGAGGAAAUUCUGGCACCAGUGAUUCAGCACUGUUUUUUUCUCUCUCUUCAGUGCCUCUUUCAGUGAUAUGAAGUUAAAACCAGAUACCCAGCCGUGGGAUUGCUAGAUCAGACAGAGCCAAUUGAUGAUCAGCAGGGCCUGAAAAUGCCAAAACCCUGAAACAACUGACCUUCGAAAACUUCAACAUCCCUGAACGAAACGUCCAAACACAUUUAUCCACCAAUCAAAGACCCUUUAUAGUCUGUGCUCUGUGCAUCUCAGAAGUCUCUCUUUACCACACUGUCUAUAUACUGCAUGAGCCAUUAUAUGAAACUCCAAGGCAUCUUAUACUAUAUAUUCAACCAUGUAUCCCUAGUACCUAGUACAGUCCUGCCAUAUAGUUUGCUACUAAACAUUUGCAGAAUGAAGUAAUUAUCUUGUAUCCAGGUUCCAAGUUUUAAGGUGAUUUCUCACUAAAAAUAAAGCAUUACAGUUCGCAA
rnacentral:lncRNA from 1 species